rnacentral:rRNA from 1 species
GACGAACGCUGGCGGCGUGCCUAAUACAUGCAAGUCGAACGCAGUGGGGACGGGUGAGGAACACGUGGGUAACCUCCCAUCAAAGGGGGGAACACUUGGAAACAGGUGCUAAACCGAUACUGGAUGCUGGACCCGGGGGGCAUUAGGUAGUUGGGGGUGUAACGGCUCACCAAGGCCACGAGGCAUAGCCGACCUGAGAGGGUGAUCGGCCACACUGGGACUGAGACACGGCCCAGACUCCUACGGGAGGCAGCAGUAGGGAAUAUUCGGCAAUGGACGCAAGUCUGACCGAGCCACGCCGCGUGAGUGAAGAAGGUCUUCGGAUCGUAAAACUCUGUUGUUAGAGAAGCGGUAUCUAACCAGAAAGCCACGGCUAACUACGUGCCAGCAGCCGCGGUAAUUC